rnacentral:rRNA from 1 species
AGAGUUUGAUCCUGGCUCAGAACGAACGCUGGCGGCGCGUCUUAAGCAUGCAAGUCGAAUGGCAAGAGAGAGCUUGCUCUCUCCUAGAAUGGCGGACUGGUGAGUAACGCGUGGGUGAUGUACCCUCUAGAUGGGGAUAGCUGUUAGAAAUAGCAGAUAAUACCGAAUAAGCUGGUCAUUGUUAGAGGAUGAUCAGGAAAGGAGCUUUUGCUCCGCUAGAGGAACGGCCCGCGUACUAUUAGCUAGUUGGUGAGGUAACGGCCCACCAAGGCGAUGAUAGUUACCCGGCCUAAGAGGGUGAUCGGGCACAUUGGGACUGAGAUACGGCCCAGACUCCUACGGGAGGCAGCAGCUAAGAAUAUUCCGCAAUGGACGAAAGUCUGACGGAGCGACGCCGCGUGGAUGAUGAAGGCCGGAAGGUUGUAAAAUCCUUUUAAGUGUGAAGAAUAAGUAGAAGAAGAGAAUGCUUCUAUGGUGACGGUAGCACUUGAAUAAGCAACGGCUAAUUACGUGCCAGCAGCCGCGGUAACACGUAAGUUGCGAGCGUUGUUCGGAAUUAUUGGGCGUAAAGGGCAUGUAGGCGGUUUUGCAAGCUUGGUGUGAAAGGCAGGAGCUUAACUCCUGGACUGCGUUGAGAACUGCAAAACUAGAGUCACUGAGGGGCAAUCAGAAUUCCAGGUGUAGGGGUGAAAUCUGUAGAUAUCUGGAAGAAUACCAAUGGCGAAGGCAGGUUACCAGCAGAUGACUGACGCUGAGGUGCGAAGGUGCGGGGAGCAAACAGGAUUAGAUACCCUGGUAGUCCGCACAGUCAACGAUGUACACUGGAUGUCUGCACAGAAGUGUGGGUGUCGAAGCAAACGCGAUAAGUGUACCGCCUGGGGAGUAUGCCCGCAAGGGUGAAACUCAAAGGAAUUGACGG